rnacentral:rRNA from 1 species
GACGAACGCUGGCGGCGUGCUUAACACAUGCAAGUCGAACGGUAUGGCCCUUCGGGGUACACGAGUGGCGAACGGGUGAGUAACACGUGGGUGAUCUGCCCUGCACUUCGGGAUAAGCCUGGGAAACUGGGUCUAAUACCGGAUAGGACCACUGCCUGCAUGGGUGGUGGUGGAAAGCUUUUGCGAGUGUGGGAUGGGCCCGCGGCCUAUCGGCUUGUUGGUGGGGGGAUGGCCGACCAAGGUGACGGCGGGUAGCCGGCCUGAGAGGGUGACCGGCCACCCGGGAGCUGAGAUACGGCCCAGACUCCAACGGGGGGCAGCAGUGGGGAAUAUUGCACAAUGGGCGCAAGGCUGGUGCAGCGGCGCCGCGUGAGGGAUGACGGCCUUCGGGUUGUAAACCUCUUUCAGCACCGGCGAAGCGCAAGUGACGGUAGGUGCAGAAGAAGGACCGGCCAACUACGUGCCAGCAGCCGCCGUAA